rnacentral:tRNA from 1 species
CAGUAAAUAGUUUAUUUAAAAUAGCAAUUUUGGAGAUUGUAGAUGAGCAUUUGCUUUUUACUGA